rnacentral:rRNA from 1 species
GAUGAACGCUGGCGGCGUGCCUAAUACAUGCAAGUCGAGCGAACGGACGAGAAGCUUGCUUCUCUGAUGUUAGCGGCGGACGGGUGAGUAACACGUGGAUAACCUACCUAUAAGACUGGGAUAACUUCGGGAAACCGGAGCUAAUACCGGAUAAUAUUUUGCACCGCAUGGUUCAAAAGUGAAAGACGGUCUUGCUGUCACUUAUAGAUGGAUCCGCGCUGCAUUAGCUAGUUGGUAAGGUAACGGCUUACCAAGGCAACGAUGCAUAGCCGACCUGAGAGGGUGAUCGGCCACACUGGAACUGAGACACGGUCCAGACUCCUACGGGAGGCAGCAGUAGGGAAUCUUCCGCAAUGGGCGAAAGCCUGACGGAGCAACGCCGCGUGAGUGAUGAAGGUCUUCGGAUCGUAAAACUCUGUUAUUAGGGAAGAACAGAUGUGUAAGUAACUGUGCACAUCUUGACGGUACCUAAUCAGAAAGCCACGGCUAACUACGUG